CUACGUGCCAGCAGCCGCGGUAAUACGGAGGGUGCGAGCGUUAAUCGGAAUAACUGGGCGUAAAGGGCACGCAGGCGGUGACUUAAGUGAGGUGUGAAAGCCCCGGGCUUAACCUGGGAAUUGCAUUUCAUACUGGGUCGCUAGAGUACUUUAGGGAGGGGUAGAAUUCCACGUGUAGCGGUGAAAUGCGUAGAGAUGUGGAGGAAUACCGAAGGCGAAGGCAGCCCCUUGGGAAUGUACUGACGCUCAUGUGCGAAAGCGUGGGGAGCAAACAGGAUUAGAUACCCUGGUAGUCCACGCUGUAAACGAUGUCGAUUUGGGGGUUGAACUUUAGGUUUGGCGCCCGUAGCUAACGUGAUAAAUCGACCGCCUGGGGAGUACGGCCGCAAGGUUAAAACUCAAAUGAAUUGACGGGGGCCCGCACAAGCGGUGGAGCAUGUGGUUUAAUUCGAUGCAACGCGAAGAACCUUACCAAGGCUU
rnacentral:rRNA from 1 species